AACCACUGUUCUAUGCUACUGAAAUGUCAUCAACCACUAUUACUAUCAUAAAGCUCCCAAAAUCCUUUUAGAUGCUACUCCUAAGUAAAUGUCUGGAAUUUAGUUUGGGAUUGUUUUGCAGUUAGUGAUCCGUUCGGCUUUGUGUUUUGCUUACAGAUGCUAUACAAAAAUAAAACCAAUAAAACACCUAUGCUGCUUUAGUAGCAGCAAAAUACAAGGUUGUGUAUCAGUGUUUAAGAUGUUCGCUAGAUUCACAUUUAUUACAUUUGUGUUCUGUUUUAUGUCAAGGUUGUGACAGCAGUUGUGAAGGAUUCAGAAGACAGUUAUUCGAAUCUUAUCCCACACUGAGUGAGGGUGGUGGAUUUUAACUAAUGAAGAUUUCAGGAUCUAUGAGAAGCCAGAUCUUGGCUGUUAUUCCUUGCCCUAAUGAGGGGUACUCAGCAAAAUAUUUAAGGGACCCAGAAACCCAAAUUUGGCUCUGUCAUUAUCUAUGUAAGGCCGCUACAAAGAGGUCUUAAUAUGGAUCAGUAGGUUCCUGGGCUGUCCUUAUCCACUGGGCCCCUGAUGAAGUGCCUCUUUUGUGAGAAAGACUUUUCCUUCUCAGAAAUAAAGUCACAGUGACGGCUGUAGCAGCAGAAUGUGAAAUCAUGGCAAAUUUGUUCAGGGAGGCUGUAUUGAAGCAGCAUGGAACUGCUAAACCACUCCAUCUAAGAAUGGAUUUGCGAGACAGCAUGGAGAAUAGAGAGAGGGACAUUUUGUCAUUUUAUAAAAUGUCCAAAGUAGAAUGGGCCUGUCCUUUAAAAUGCACACUUGAAGGUAUUUGAAUGGAAUUUUACUCACUCUCUUUAUUUUUAAGAUUUUAAUCAUGGUUUCAUAUUUUAAUGUUCUGAGUUUUCCAUCGGCGAUGCAGCUGUGGGUGAAGGAGUGAACAGGUUCUUUUUCUCCACAAUUAUAUCAAAGCUUCAGUUUGGUUUUCAUCGUAACUUGCUUUCUAUAAAACAGGGUUUUUAAAUGAUGUUAUUUAGAAAUGUCAGUUUAUAUUAAUUUGCUCAAGAAUAUUACAGAUCACAAUGUAUUUGUAAUAUUCGUCACGUGCUUGUGGAAAAAAUCUAUAUGCUUUAUCGGUCAUAUUUUUACUUUUUAUACAUCACCAAUCUAACAGAAUAAGGAUAGACUGUAUAGUGGAGGCAUCCCAUGCGCAAUGGUUUUAGUUAAUUAACUGGCCAAGGACAUCACUGUUCAGGUUAUUUAUUCUAAGAGUACUACAGAAAUCAUUGUUUGUUUCCAUUAUUGUUUAGUCUUGCAUCUACACACUGUGCUUUAAUGUUUACAAUUGUGGAAAUAACGCCUAGACAGUAUGAACUUAGUGAGCAGUGCAUGUUUUGUCAUCGUCAGAGUUCAAUUUUUUGCAGAAAAUAAAAUGUGAUUUGAUUCUUAUUUAUGUUUGAUU